GACGGAGGGUGCAAGCGUUGUUCGGAUUCACUGGGCGUAAAGGGUGCGUAGGCGGUCGGAUAAGUCUGAUGUGAAAUCUUCGAGCUCAACUCGGAAACUGCAUCGGAAACUAUUCGGCUGGAGGAUUGGAGGGGAGACUGGAAUUCUCGGUGUAGCAGUGAAAUGCGUAGAUAUCGAGAGGAACACCAGUGGCGAAGGCGAGUCUCUGGACAAUUCCUGACGCUGAGGCACGAAAGCUAGGGGAGCAAACAGG
rnacentral:rRNA from 1 species